rnacentral:rRNA from 1 species
GGAUUAGAUACCCUGGUAGUCCACGCUGUAAACGAUGAUUACUCGGUGCUGGCGAUAUACGGUCAGUGCCCAAGCGAAAGUGAUAAGUAAUCCACCUGGGGAGUACGAUCGCAAGGUUGAAACUCAAAGGAAUUGACGGGGGCCCGCACAAGCGGUGGAGCAUGUGGUUUAAUUCGAUGAUACGCGAGGAACCUUACCUGGGCUUAAAUGCAUAAUGACAGACCGAGAAAUCGGUUGUUCUUCGGACAGAAUGCAAGGUGCUGCAUGGCUGUCGUCAGCUCGUGCCG